rnacentral:rRNA from 1 species
CCUAGAUGAAUUUGGUGCUUGCACCAAAUGAAACUAGAUACAAGCGAGCGGCGGACGGGUGAGUAACACGUGGGUAACCUGCCCAAGAGACUGGGAUAACACCUGGAAACAGAUGCUAAUACCGGAUAACAACACUAGACGCAUGUCUAGAGUUUAAAAGAUGGUUCUGCUAUCACUCUUGGAUGGACCUGCGGUGCAUUAGCUAGUUGGUAAGGUAACGGCUUACCAAGGCAAUGAUGCAUAGCCGAGUUGAGAGACUGAUCGGCCACAUUGGGACUGAGACACGGCCCAAACUCCUACGGGAGGCAGCAGUAGGGAAUCUUCCACAAUGGACGCAAGUCUGAUGGAGCAACGCCGCGUGAGUGAAGAAGGGUUUCGGCUCGUAAAGCUCUGUUGGUAGUGAAGAAAGAUAGAGGUAGUAACUGGCCUUUAUUUGACGGUAAUUACUUAGAAAGUCACGGCUAACUACGUGCCAGCAGCCGCGGUAAUACGUAGGUGGCAAGCGUUGUCCGGAUUUAUUGGGCGUAAAGCGAGUGCAGGCGGUUCAAUAAGUCUGAUGUGAAAGCCUUCGGCUCAACCGGAGAAUUGCAUCAGAAACUGUUGAACUUGAGUGCAGAAGAGGAGAGUGGAACUCCAUGUGUAGCGGUGGAAUGCGUAGAUAUAUGGAAGAACACCAGUGGCGAAGGCGGCUCUCUGGUCUGCAACUGACGCUGAGG